rnacentral:rRNA from 1 species
CGACGCCGCGUGUGCGAUGGAAGUCCUUCGGGUAUGUAAAGCUACUGUCGGAGGGGAAGCAAAAAAGACGGUACCCUCCAAGAAAGCCCCGGCUAACUACGUGC